GAUGAAGAACGUAGCGAAAUGCGAUAAGUAAUGCGAAUUGCAGAAUUCAGUGAAUCAUCGAAUCUUUGAACGCACAUUGCGCCCGCUAGUAUUCUGGCGGGCAUGCCUGUCUGAGCGUCAUUUCAACCCUCGCCCCCGGCUUUUGCUGGGAGCGGUGUUGGGGAUCGGCCGCCCGUCACUGGGAGGCCGGCCCCGAAAUAGAGUGGCGACCACGCCGUGUGCCCCUCUGCGUAGUAGUAAAUCACCUCGCAGGCGGACAGCGGUGCGGCCUGCCGUAAAACCCCCAACUCUUUCUGGUUGACCUCAGAUCAGGUAGGAAUACCCGCUGAACUUAAGCAUAUCAAUAAGCGGAGGA
rnacentral:misc_RNA from 1 species